GCCACAUCUGCGACCUACACCACAGCUCACAGUAAUGCCGGAUCCUUGCCCUGGUGAUGUGAAGACUUCAAGUGCUGAAGCCCUUUUGCUACCAAGAAGAGAGUCAGAUUUGCAAUGGACCUCACACUUUUGAAGAUGGAAAUGACAGAUGGAAGGAAAUUAGGUCCUUAGUGGUAUUGUUGAUCCACAGAAUCAAACCAAUUUCAAAGCCAAAUCAUACCCUGAAAUUUGCAGUUAUUUGAGCAAUAAAUCCUCUUUACUGUUUAA